GACGUGUGCACUUCGGAUUGUCCUGUCAGUCGGAUUUACAGCAUGUGAAUUCAUCAGUUUCUCCCGAAAUACAUGUAAGUAAGU